GGACCGGCUGUGCAAUCUGAUAUUAUGAGCCCCGCCGCACACAGAGAGAGAGGAGAGCCGGGGCUUGAAAUAGCACUCAAAAAAACACACGGGCGAGGCAAACACAGGAGACGGACGAACAGACCAAAGUGUGUUUUUGGUGAAUUUGAUUCCGUGUCAUCGACGGCAGGACUCAGAUUUAGCUCAUUUUGAAUUCAACUUUGUGGCGGAAUAGUUGAAGAUUCGCGGAGGCUGUGUGUGUGUGUGUGUGUGUGUGUGUGUGUGUGUGUGUGUGUGUGACAUCCUGUAACGAUGCGGAGUAGAAAUAACACGCACAAAAAAAAAGGCGCCACAGUUGUGACAGAAACCCCCAUCAAGUUGGCUCAGUCUUUGUCUAAAAAGAAAGAAGACGUGCAAGAGAUGGGCAAAAUGCAAGGACACCGGAGCAGGGCCGAGAGUUAUCCCGGGGGAUUAAAGCUCAACCAACUUAUCCCUAACCCAACCUGACCCCGCGGCCACACCAACACACUCGGCAGGGUUCACGCAGAGUUGAGCGAUGCUGAUGCAGAUUUCUGCGAAAGGGCCUGUUGAUGAAGAUGAUGGUGGUGAUGAUGAUGAUGAUGAUGCGGAGGAGGCGGGACAGUUGGGUGGAGGUAUAGCAGCGCCCUCCUUCCUGCCACACUAACCCCUGUCUGAACCCGGGACAUGUCUGUCCCACGGGUUUUUUCCUCACCCCCAAACUGUCACGUUUUCCGAUCGUCGGUGACACUGAGUUUCUCCCCCCCCCGCCCCCCCGCAGCCGCCCAGUCUCCCAAAUAGUGUUUUCCUUUUGCAAAUGGAUGCAGCGUUUCCCUUUUCUUUUUGUCGUCCCCUUUCCCUCCGAGCCAAUAGUUCAGUCUGAAGAAAGAAUAGGGAGAAUUAAGACACAUAUGACAUAUAUUUUGAAUACAGAGUUGUGCUGCUACUAGUGAAAAUAAUAAUAAUACAUUUAUUUUAAAUCUCUGUGUAGUUGAAUCUUCCAAAAUUCCAUUUUCUGGGUUCAUAAAUGUUUCAUAAAUCAUUUCAUAUUCAUUCUUUUCUACAUUUUUGUGUGCUUCUAAGAUGUUUUUUGCCUUUAUAUUGUUGUUGAAGUGCAGAUCAAAUUUUCCCUUUGAGGGUCAAUAAAGACCUCUGAACUCUGAACUGAAA